GAUGAACGCUGGCGGCGUGCCCAAUACAUGCAAGUCGAACACACAGCGACAGGUGCUUGCACCUUUCAAGUGAGUGGCGAACGGGUGAGUAACACGUGGACAACCUGCCUCAAGGCUGGGGAUAACAUUUGGAAACAGAUGCUAAUACCGAAUACAACUCAGUGUCGCAUGACACAAAGUUAAAAGGCGCUUUGGCGUCACCUAGAGAUGGAUCCGCGGUGCAUUAGGUAGUUGGUGGGGUAAAGGCCUACCAAGACAAUGAUGCAUAGCCGGGUUGAGGGACGGAGCGGCCACCUUGGGACUGAGACACGGCCCAGACGCCUACGGGAGGCUGCAGUAGGGAAGCGACCACAAGAGGCGAUAGCCUGAUGGAGCAACGCCGCGUGUGUGAUGAAGGGUUUCGGGUCGUAAAGCGCUGUUGUAAGGGAAGAACAGCUAGAAUAGGGAAUGAUUUUAGUUUGACGGUACCAUACCAGAAAGGGACGACUAAAUACGUGCCAGCCGCCGCAGUAA
rnacentral:rRNA from 1 species